CCUUCUAUUGCUCAGUUGGUAGAGCGGAGGACUGUAGGAGGUCAUUCUUGGGUCGCUGGUUCGAAUCCAGCUCAAAGGA
rnacentral:tRNA from 1 species